GUUAAUCGGGGCAGGGUGAGUCGACCCCUAAGGCGAGGCCGAAAGGCGUAGUCGAUGGGAAACGGGUUAAUAUUCCCGUACUUGGUGUUACUGCGAAGGGGGGACGGAGAAGGCUAUGUUGGCCGGGCGACGGUUGUCCCGGUUUAAGCGUGUAGGUGUGUGUUCCAGGUAAAUCCGGUUCACUUUAACACUGAGGCGUGACGACGAGGCACUACGGUGCUGAAGCAACAAAUGCCCUGCUUCCAGGAAAAGCCUCUAAGCAUCAGGUAACAUCAAAUCGUACCCCAAACCGACACAGGUGGUCAGGUAGAGAAUACCAAGGCGCUUGAGAGAACUCGGGUGAAGGAACUAGGCAAAAUGGUGCCGUAACUUCGGGAGAAGGCACGCUGACACGUAGGUGAAGUGAUUUACUCAUGGAGCUGAAGUCAGUCGAAGAUACCAGCUGGCUGCAACUGUUUAUUAAAAACACAGCACUGUGCAAACACGAAAGUGGACGUAUACGGUGUGACGCCUGCCCGGUGCCGGAAGGUUAAUUGAUGGGGUCAGCGCAAGCGAAGCUCCUGAUCGAAGCCCCGGUAAACGGCGGCCGUAACUAUAACGGUCCUAAGGUAGCGAAAUUCCUUGUCGGGUAAGUUCCGACCUGCACGAAUGGCGUAAUGAUGGCCAGGCUGUCUCCACCCGAGACUCAGUGAAAUUGAACUCGCUGUGAAGAUGCAGUGUACCCGCGGCAAGACGGAAAGACCCCGUGAACCUUUACUAUAGCUUGACACUGAACAUUGAGCCUUGAUGUGUAGGAUAGGUGGGAGGCUUUGAAGUGUGGACGCCAGUCUGCAUGGAGCCGACCUUGAAAUACCACCCUUUAAUGUUUGAUGUUCUAACGUGGACCCGUUACCCGGGUUGCGGACAGUGUCUGGUGGGUAGUUUGACUGGGGCGGUCUCCUCCUAAAGAGUAACGGAGGAGCACGAAGGUUGGCUAAUCCUGGUCGGACAUCAGGAGGUUAGUGCAAUGGCAUAAGCCAGCUUGACUGCGAGCGUGACGGCGCGAGCAGGUGCGAAAGCAGGUCAUAGUGAUCCGGUGGUUCUGAAUGGAAGGGCCAUCGCUCAACGGAUAAAAGGUACUCCGGGGAUAACAGGCUGAUACCGCCCAAGAGUUCAUAUCGACGGCGGUGUUUGGCACCUCGAUGUCGGCUCAUCACAUCCUGGGGCUGAAGUAGGUCCCAAGGGUAUGGCUGUUCGCCAUUUAAAGUGGUACGCGAGCUGGGUUUAGAACGUCGUGAGACAGUUCGGUCCCUAUCUGCCGUGGGCGCUGGAGAACUGAGGGGGGCUGCUCCUAGUACGAGAGGACCGGAGUGGACGCAUCACUGGUGUUCGGGUUGUCAUGCCAAUGGCACUGCCCGGUAGCUAAAUGCGGAAGAGAUAAGUGCUGAAAGCAUCUAAGCACGAAACUUGCCCCGA
rnacentral:rRNA from 1 species